AUUGAACGCUGGCGGCAGGCCUAACACAUGCAAGUCGAACGAGUGGCGGACGGGUGAGUAAUGUCUGGGAAACUGCCUGAUGGAGGGGGAUAACUACUGGAAACGGUAGCUAAUACCGCAUACUAUCGGAUGUGCCCAGAUGGGAUUAGCUAGUAGGUGGGGUAAAGGCUCACCGAGGCGACGAUCCCUAGCUGGUCUGAGAGGAUGACCAACCACACUAGAACUAAGACCCGGUCCAGACCCCUACGGGAGGCGACGAUGGGGAAUAUUGCACAAUGGGCGCACACCUGAUGCAGCCAUGCCGCAUGUAUGAAGACGGCCAUCGGGUUGUAAAGGACUUACAGCGGGGAGGCGUUACCCGCAGAAGAAGCACCGGCUAACUCCGUGCCAGCAGCCGCGGUAAUAC
rnacentral:rRNA from 1 species